GAUGAACGCUGGCGGCGUGCCUAACACAUGCAAGUCGAACGGAGUCGUUUUGGAAAUCUCUUCGGAGAUGGAAUUCUCGACUUAGUGGCGGACGGGUGAGUAACGCGUGAGCAAUCUGCCUUUAAGAGGGGGAUAACAGUCGGAAACGGCUGCUAAUACCGCAUAAAGCAUUAAAUUCGCAUGUUUUUGAUGCCAAAGGAGCAAUCCGCUUUUAGAUGAGCUCGCGUCUGAUUAGCUAGUUGGCGGGGUAACGGCCCACCAAGGCGACGAUCAGUAGCCGGACUGAGGGGGUGAACGGCCACAUGGGGACUGAGACACGGCCCAGACUCCUACGGGAGGCAGCAGUGGGGAAUAUUGCGCAAUGGGGGAAACCCUGACGCAGCAACGCCGCGUGAUGGAAGAAGGCCUUCGGGUUGUAAAGAUCUUUAAUCAGGGACGAAACAAAUGACGGUACCUGAAGAAUAAGCUCCGGCUAACUACGUG
rnacentral:rRNA from 1 species